GUACAUUUAUUAAGAAAUUAUUCAACAUAUAAUACAAAGAUUUCAAAAUCAUAAAAUAAUCUAAAUUGUAUAAAUAAAUUCUAAGGUAUAUUAAAUCAAAUUAAAGCAACAUUUGAUUGAGGUUAACAAAUUGAGAAAAACUUUAAGACAAUAGAUAGAUAUAAGAAGAUUUGGUAUGAGUGCCAAUGACACAACUCUCCACCCAAGUCAUAAUAAGUUCAUCUGUAAUAAAUAUUUUUAAACAAAGUAAAACAAAUACUUUAAAUAUCACAGUUUUCAUUGAAUACAAAGACUCCUCUAAUAACAAAUGUCUUAUUUGCAUAGGUGAUCAUUUCCUGAUAUUUUUGAAGAUUUCCUAAACUCCCCUCUUUUUAAUAUAAGCCUCAUGCACUGCAGUAAGAAUUUCCAGAAUUUUCAACAUUUGGAGUUGUCAACAGUACAUUUACAUUGCAUUGUAGUUUACUGUUUCCCAAAUUACAAGAUAUUGUUUUCUUCGGUUAUAUUUCAAAAGGAAUUUUUGUCAUACAAAACAGUGUAAGAAUAGAAGACUAAAAAUAAGAUGUUAAGAUUAUCAAACAAUUGAAAUGUUUUCUUUUUCAAUAGGGCUGGUAAUGUGAGCAUCAUAUAUUCAUAGUUCAUUUAAGCAGAGAACUUUGUUUUAAUUUGACUAUUCCUUUUAAGUCCAGUAAUAUGUCUUAAUUUCUUUCAAGUAUAUCAAACUGAAAAUAUCUCUCAUGAAAAUACAAAAUAACCCAUUUUGCUGUCAUUACAAAAACAGAAAACGACUACAAUAUCCUUGAAAAUUUCAAACAUCAAAGUAUUAUAUCAAAAGUAGACAAAUUUAAAGAAAACAUUUUAAAACAAAUAUAAAAAAUAUACAUUGCACACUUAAAUAUCUGAAGGCGUUAAUAUAAAAUCAUUGCAGUAAAAGUUUCAAGGGACUCAGGUUUUCCAACAAAGUCCUUAAGAAAUUGAUUGUUGGUGUUUUAACACCACUUUAAAGCGUUACUUUUGGGCUAUGUGAUGGCGGUCAGUUUUUAUGGGCGAAGGAAGCUGGAGUGCCCCGAGACAACUACUGACCUUCAAUAGGAAAACUUACAAUCCUAGUCGAUUUAAAAGAUUGGAGUUGAGUGGAACUGCACUCACAACCAGCAUGACCAGUGUUGACUGGCUAGUGAUUUCAGUAGUAGAACUACUUAGACAACUUUGCCACUGAAACCUAUAUAGGAAAGUUAGAAAAGACAUGAUACUACUUCUUACCACGUAAAACAAAAAUAAGCAUAAUUUCAACAGGAACAAAUUUGCAAUUGUACAAUUAGUCACAAUCCACAGGAAUUACUGAAAAGUCCCAUUAUAUAUGAGAAUGAUUGAAGUCAGGAAUGGUGGACAUCAGUAAGUAUAUAUCCCCAAGUACCUGUAUAAAUAGAAGCCCAGAUUUGGUAUAUAAAUCGUACCUUAUUUAUUACUAAACAUAGUACGGGACAUUUAAUGCAUCUGUAAUGCAUGCACCACAUGAUUAAAGUUUAUCUCCCUUUAUCAGAAAAUUAAUCUUUAUUAAAUCAAAAUUACCAUUGAAUGCUUCAUAUGUUUGUGAGAUAUGUUAGAAUAUAUAUUUAGGUAAAGUAAAAGUUAUGUUGCAAGUCUUCUUGAACGAAAGGAGAAUAACAAAACAUGAAAGUUAUAGAUAAACUAGCACAGUUAUAAAACACAUAUAUCUCUGUAGGCAAAGAUCAACAAUAUACAUGAUAUAUGUGAGCUAACAUGAUUGUCGCUAUUACUAUAUUAAUAUAUAGCACAUAAUUAUAUUUCUAUCUAAUAAAUAACAAUAAAAAGAGAGGUAUGGAAAACAAAAUAAUUAAACAAUAACAUUUAACAAUGAUAGUAG
rnacentral:lncRNA from 1 species